GUAGCAAAUACUCAAAUGAGAACUUUGAGGACUGAAGUGGGGAAAGGUUCCAUGUGAACAGCAGUUGGACAUGGGUUAGUCGAUCCUAAGACACAGGGAAGUUCCGUUUGAAAGGCGCCCUGGUGCGCCGUUGACAUGCAACAGCUGGGAUUCGCUGGUGGUCACCCACCCAACUACUAACCAGCCGGCGUGUGGCUUAAGUACGGCUGAGCGGACGGGAAGCCCUGUUUUCCACACCCUAUGGUCGCAUGU
rnacentral:rRNA from 1 species